rnacentral:rRNA from 1 species
CCUACGGGAGGCAGCAGUAGGGAAUCUUCCACAAUGGGCGAAAGCCUGAUGGAGCAACGCCGCGUGGGUGAAGAAGGUCUUCGGAUCGUAAAACCCUGUUGUUAGAGAAGAAAGUGCGUGAGAGUAACUUUUCACGUUUCUACUGUAUCUACCCAGCAAUCCACUUCUAACUACUUUCCAUCAUCCUCUUUAAUACUUAUUUUUCAAUCUUUAUCCUGAUUUAUUGUCCUUAAAGGGACCGCAGGCGUGCUU